rnacentral:rRNA from 1 species
UACCAGCACCCCGAGUGGUCGGGACGUUUUAUUGGGCCUAAAGCAUCCGUAGCCGGUUCUACAAGUCUUCCGUUAAAUCCAACUGCUUAACAGGUGGGCUGCGGAAGAUACUAUAGAGCUAGGAGGCGGGAGAGGCAAGCGGUACUCGAUGGGUAGGGGUAAAAUCCGUUGAUCCAUUGAAGACCACCAGUGGCGAAGGCGGCUUGCCAGAACGCGCUCGACGGUGAGGGAUGAAAGCUGGAGGAGCAAACCGG